CGGGGCUAAGAGGAGAGAGAACUGGGGCAUAAUUGAUUGUUAACUGGAGAAAAGAACUAUUGUAUUCCAGUGGCUGUGAUAACUUCUGAUUUGCAAGAAAAUUUCACCUACUUCUAGUGACAAUUUACAUGUCUAACAUUGAGGAAACCAGAAAGUGAACUAAUCAUAGACCCAUUUUCAGAAAUAUAACUGAAUCUUCUUCAUAUUACUAUAAGCAAUGAAAUUUCACUUUUGCAACAUCAGCACUACGCCAUCAUAAAAUCCGUCAUAUAACAUUAACGCAUGUCCCUUGAAAGGAAGGGGGAAAAAAUAAUUAUCAUGAAUCUUCACGUUUACAAUUUUCCCAUUCGGUCCAUUUCUAAAUGCCCUAUGAAAGAGGUCAAUGUUUAAUCCCCACGAGAACCACUGCUACCAGCAUAUGAUUUCUUACCGCCAUACUUCUGCUUUCCAAUGUUGACAGGAAUAUACUUGUAUUUGAUCAUAUGUGCAAUUUGGCGCCUCAUCGUAAGGACAAAAAGAGCAAUCCAGUAACAAAGCAGUAUUGGCCAAAACACAGGAACAUCAAACAUGGAAAAGAAGGUCAUGAAAAAUGCUAUGCAGAAUGCCUUUGUGAAGGAAUACCAGAAUUUGAACUCUGGAAG
rnacentral:misc_RNA from 1 species